ensembl:lncRNA
GGGAAGAUCCUGUGGUGAAGGAAAUAGCAACCCACUCCAGUACUCUUGCCUGGAAAACCCCAUGGACGGAGGGGCCCGACAGCCAGUCCAUUCUAAAGGAGAUCAGCCCUGGGUGUUCUUUGGAAGGAAUGAUGCUAAAGCUGAAACUACAGUACUUUGGCCACCUCAUGCGAAGAGUUGACUCAUUGGAAAAGACUCUGAUGCUGGGAGGGAUUGGGGGCAGGAGGAAAAGGGAAUGACAGAGGAUGAGAUGGCUGGAUGGCAUCACCGACUCGAUGGAUGUGAGUUUGAGUGAACUCUGGGAGCUGGUGAUGGACAGGGAGGCCUGACGUGCUGCUGUUCAUGGGGUUGCAAAGAGUCAGACAUGACUGAGUGACUGAACUGAACUGAACUGAACUGAUGGAAAUGAUGUUAGACAAAAAGCAAAUUCAAGAGAUUUUCUUGAGUUCAAAAUUGGACAUAGAGCAGCAGAGACAACUCACAACAUCAACAACACAUUUGGCUCCAGAACUGCUAAUGAACAUAUGGUGCACUGGUGGUUCAAGAAGCUUUGCAAAGGAGACAAGAGCCUUGAAGAUGAGGAGCACAGUGGCCAACCCAUCAUUGAAGCUUAUGCCUUACAACUACAGGAGAAGUUGCCCAAUAACUCAACGUCUACCACUCUACAAUUGUUUGGCAUUUGAAGAAAAUUGGAAAGGAAAAAAGCUCGAUAAGUGGGUGC